UUGGCUUUUAAAUGGAGUCAGGUAUGAAUGGGAAAACCGGGUUUAGCUGUCUCCUGCUUACUAUCUUGAAUUUACUGUUCAAAUGAAAAAGUUUGAUUUUAAUAAAAAGACGAGAAGACCCUUAGAAUUUUUUUUAAAAAGGAUUUUGUUCUUAAUGAUUUUGUUGGGGUGACAGAGAAAUAUUUAGAACUUUCUUUAAUCUUACAAGCCGAAUUUUUUAAGCAAGAAUAAAUUACCUGAGGGAUAACAGCAUUAUUCUAUAGACGAGUUUGUGACCUCGAUGUUGGACUAGGAAACUAGCAGGCUAGCCGUUUGCUGUGUGAGUUCUGUUCGAACUUUAAUUCCU
rnacentral:rRNA from 1 species